UACCCGCGGCCCGAGUGGUGCUCAUUAUUAUUGAGCCUAAAGCGUCCGUAGCUGGCCGGGCAAAUCUCCGGGUAAAUCGGGCCGCUCAACGGUCCGAAUUCCGGAGACACUGCUCGGCUUGGGAUCGGGAGAGGGUGAAGGUACUCCCGGGGUAGGGGUAAAAUCCUGUAAUCCUGGGGGGACCACCAGUGGCGAAGGCGUUCACCUAGAACGAAUCCGACAGUGAGGGACGAAGCCCUAGGGCGCAAACGGGAUUAGAUACCCCGGUAGUCUAGGGUGUAAACGCUGCAGACUUGGUGUUGGGGGUCCUGCGUGGGCUCCCAGUGCCGGAGCGAAGGUGUUGAGUCUGCCGCUUGGGGAGUACGGUCGCAAGACUGAAACUUAAAGGAAUUGGCGGGAGAGCACCGCAACGGGAGGAGCGUGCGGUUCAAUUGGAUUCAACGCCGGAAAACUCACCGGAGGCGACGGAGGGAUGAAAGCCAGGCUGAAGACCUUGCCCGAUUCUCCGAGAGGUGGUGCAUGGCCGUCGUCAGUUCGUACCGUAAGGCGUUCUGUUAAGUCAGAUAACGAACGAGACCCUCGCCGUUAGUCGCGAUCUUACAAGCGAUUGUAGGAGCACACUAGCGGGAUCGCUGCCGUUAAGGCAGAGGAAGGAGAGGUCUACGGUAGGUCAGUAUGCCCCGAAUUCCCUGGGCUACACGCGCGCUACAAAGGACGGAACAAUGGGCUGCAAUCCCGAAAGGGAAAGCCAAUCCCGAAAUCCGUUCGUAGUUCAGACUGAGGACUGUAAUUCGUCCUCACGAAGCUGGAUUCCGUAGUAAUCGCGAUUCAACAAAUCGCGGUGAAUAUGCCCCUGCUCUU
rnacentral:rRNA from 1 species